GUCCACGCUGUAAACGAUGAGAACUAGAUGUUGAUUGGGGAACCAAGCAGUAUCGAAGCUAACGCGAUAAGUUCUCCGCCUGGGAAGUACGGCCGCAAGGUUGAAACUCAAAGGAAUUGACGGGGGCCCGCACAAGCGGUGGAGCAUGUGGUUUAAUUCGAUGCAACGCGAAGAACCUUACCUACCCUUGACAUCCUGCGAACCUGGCUGAGAGGCUGGGGUGCCGAAAGGAACGCAGAGACAGGUGCUGCAUGGCUGUCGU
rnacentral:rRNA from 1 species